rnacentral:rRNA from 1 species
UACGUAGGGUGCAAGCGUUGUCCGGAAUUAUUGGGCGUAAAGAGCUCGUAGGCGGUCUGUCGCGUCUGCUGUGAAAACUCAGGGCUUAACCCUGAGCUUGCAGUGGGUACGGGCAGACUAGAGUGCGGUAGGGGAGACUGGAAUUCCUGGUGUAGCGGUGAAAUGCGCAGAUAUCAGGAGGGAACACCGGUGGGCGAAGGCGGGUCUCUGGGC